rnacentral:rRNA from 1 species
GUUUCCUACGGGGGGCAGCAGUGGGGGAUAUUCGUCAAUGGGCGCAAGCCUGAGCGAGCAAUGCCGCGUGAACGAGGAAGGUCUUCGGAUCGUAAAGUUCUGUUGAAGGGGAAAAAGAGCGGAGAGAGGAAAUGAACUCCGAUUGAUAUUACCCUUCGAGGAAGUCACGGCUAACUACGUGCCAGCAGCCGCGGUAAUACGUAGGUGGCGAGCGUUAUCCGGAAUGAUUGGGCGUAAAGGGUGCGUAGGCGGCCUGCUAAGUCUGGAGUGAAAGGUACCGGCUCAACCGGUACAGGCUCUGGAAA